UGUGAACCUAGGUAGACCUUUCUUCCUUUGUUUUUGUUUUUUUGAGACGAGGCCUUGUUACGUUGCCCAAGCUGGUCUUCAACUUCUGGGCCCAAGGGAUCGACCUGCCUCAGCUUCUCAAUGACAGAAAGCUGACUACCACACUGGCCCUCAGUUUUCUUGAAUCCGCCUACCUCAGGAGACAUUUAGGGUGAGAAAAAGUUUGCUCAGCACCUGGAAGGAAGCUCCCCCACCACCAUCCCAAGCUCCUAGGGCAGAGAAGGAGACCCGGUGCCAGCACCCAGAAGGAAGCUCCCUCGCCGCUAUCCCAAGCUCCUAGGGCAGAGAAGGUGCUGGAGCUACUGAAUAAAGCACUGUGUCUCCUUCCACAUGUAUCACAUUCCAGUCCAAAGGUAGUGUGGACUUGUAACAUCUUGUAAAUCUCCUCAAGAUUCUUGUCCUGAAUAAUAUGGACAGAGCAGUCACUUUGAAAGAAAGAGCUAUAAACACUAGGAGCUGUUAACUCUCAAGACCUCCAGAGACCAGGAGCUGAGGAAGAACAGCCACAGAGACCAGCACCAGCAGAGCUGACUGAAAACAUCCAGUGUUAACUGGUGUCUACUAGGGGCAUCAGGGCUGCUAGCAGAGCCACACUUUGCCAGUUCAUGACUUUUAUCUGAAUGGAGUAAAAGAACCCUUGGUUGAUUAAUGACAUUUUCUCUGUACAGCACAUCACAGCCUUGUACAUAGAUAGUUAGAUAACACUUCAACACUACGCUUGGAGUCCAUUCCAGUGAAAUCAUCCUCAAAAAGCAUCAAAAGGCAAACAAACAAAAAAAUCAAAAGUACGGUCCUAAGUAGACUGUGAAAAAGAGAAGUUUACAACAGGAGAGCUGAAACCAGGAGGGAGUCAUCCUGCCUGACCUCAGCUGGGGCCAAGUGCACCUGAUGACUCAAAUGUCCCCCUCCUCUUGUAUGUCUGUAAAUGACCACAAAGCUCAGCAAGUAUCGAUUUGGGUUUAUAAAUUUUAGCGAGUAGGAGGAAUGACUGUAUAGGCAACACGAUGAUUUUUCCUGAAAGCACAUAUAACAAGUUUUUCCCUUGGGCUCUGUUCCUAGGGUAACCUCUAUCCUGUUUCUAAC
rnacentral:lncRNA from 1 species